AAGUCGUAACAAGGUUUCCGUAGGUGAACCUGCGGAAGGAUCAUUAAAAGGGCCGUGCCUCCGGCUGUCCUUUGAUGGACAACCUCUGAAAGGCCCGGCAAGUCUGGAAGUGGUGUCGGUGCUUAGCAUUGGUCGGUCUAUGUCCUGUGACGGUACGCACCCAACCGUGCCCUACCUCAGCUGGGGUUCGUCUCCACCCACAAGUACUCCCGCCAGGAGCUUGGACGUCCACCCGGUGCGGCGCUCAAUGGCCGCCAGCGCAUAUUCGGGAAUCCUUGACUACAAGUACCUUUUUGUUGAUUCCUUCGGUGGAUCCGUCCGCCGACUGGAACUCCCAAAACCCUUUUUGCAAUUGCAUUAAUCCUUCUGAUACCAUAUUAAAUCGUUACAACUUUCAACAAUGGAUCUCUUGGUUCUG
rnacentral:misc_RNA from 1 species